rnacentral:misc_RNA from 1 species
GAUGAAGAACGCAGCGAAAUGCGAUAAGUAAUGUGAAUUGCAGAAUCCAGUGAAUCAUCGAAUCUUUGAACGCACAUUGCGCCCGCCAGCAUUCUGGCGGGCAUGCCUGUUCGAGCGUCAUUUCAACCCUCGACCUCCCUUUGGGGAAGUCGGCGUUGGGGACCGGCAGCACACCGCCGGCCCUGAAAUGGAGUGGCGGCCCGUCCGCGGCGACCUCUGCGUAGUAAUCCAACUCGCACCGGAACCCCGACGUGGCCACGCCGUAAAACACCCAACUUCUGAACGUUGACCUCGAAUCAGGUAGGACUACCCGCUGAACUUAAGCAUAUCAAUAAGCGGAGGA